rnacentral:rRNA from 1 species
UAGGGAAUCUUCCGCAAUGGACGCAAGUCUGACGGAGCAACGCCGCGUGAGUGAAGAAGGAUUUCGGUUCGUAAAACUCUGUUGUUAGAGAAGAACAGCGCAUAGAGUAACUGUUAUGCGUGUGACGGUAUCUAACCAGAAAGCCACGGCUAACUACGUGCCAGCAGCCGCGGUAAUACGUAGGUGGCAAGCGUUGUCCGGAUUUAUUGGGCGUAAAGCGAGCGCAGGCGGUCAAUUAAGUCUGAUGUGAAAGCCCCCGGCUCAACCGGGGAGGGUCAUUGGAAACUGGUUGAAUUGAGUGCAGAAGGGGAGAGUUGAAUUCCAUGUGUAGCGGUGAAAUGCGUAGAUAUAUGGAGGAACACCAGUUGCGAAGGCGACUCGCUGGUCUGUAACUGACGCGGAGGCUCGAAAGCGUGGGUAGCAAACAGG